rnacentral:rRNA from 1 species
CCCUUAGAUGUUCUGGGCUGCACGCGCGCUACACUGAUGCGCUCAACGAGUUUUAACCUUGCCUGGAAAGGUUGGGUAAUCUUUUUAAAACGCAUCGUGAUGGGGAUAGAUUAUUGCAAUUAUUAAUCUUCAACGAGGAAUUCCUAGUAAGCGCGAGUCAUCAGCUCGUGCUGAUUACGUCCCUGCCCUUUGUACACACCGCCCGUCGCACCUACCGAUUGAAUGACUCGGUGAAAAAUUGGGACUGUGAUUGAAAUUGCUUCAUUGCGAAUUUAAUUAUGGAAACUUUCUUUAACCUAGGCAUUUAGAGGAAGGUGAAGUCGUAACA